rnacentral:rRNA from 1 species
UGGGGAAUAUUGCACAAUGGGCGCAAGCCUGAUGCAGCCAUGCCGCGUGUGUGAAGAAGGCCUUCGGGUUGUAAAGCACUUUCAGCGGGGAGGAAGGCGUUAAGGUUAAUAACCUUGGCGAUUGACGUUACCCGCAGAAGAAGCACCGGCUAACUCCGUGCCAGCAGCCGCGGUAAUACGGAGGGUGCAAGCGUUAAUCGGAAUUACUGGGCGUAAAGCGCACGCAGGCGGUCUGUCAAGUCGGAUGUGAAAUCCCCGGGCUCAACCUGGGAACUGCAUUUGAAACUGGCAGGCUAGAGUCUUGUAGAGGGGGGUAGAAUUCCAGGUGUAGCGGUGAAAUGCGUAGAGAUCUGGAGGAAUACCGGUGGCGAAGGCGGCCCCCUGGACAAAGACUGACGCUCAGGUGCGAAAGCGUGGGGAGCAAACAGG